UAUGCUCAGUUUAUUCAUGCAAUCAUGGACAGGAGAUUUCCUUUCAUUGCGGUGGGUUUAUCUUCUCUAAGAAUAAACCCUGUUGACUCUUUUUUCUUUUUUGUACCCCCUCAGCACUCCUUCUAAAAAUUCAGGAAAUACUUUACAGUACAGAGAAAAUAAGAUAACAUGCAACGCCAAACAAGCUUGGCCAGUUAAAAGGCAAAUCCAUCAUUGAACUUCACUGGCACAAGAGUCAGUACUAAUAGGAGAAAACAGACAGCUGCAGUCAAUGUAGAGCAUUUUACCAUGGCUAUCUUGUGGCAUGAAUGGGUAUCAGAGGACUCCUCCGAGGGCUGGAAAAAGCUCAGAGAAACCGCCCAAUAAGGUAACUUAGCUCCACCUCUUCCCGGAGUUUCGCCAUAAAAGAUAUACAGCCUAAACAGAGGCGUCUUUUG